rnacentral:rRNA from 1 species
UUUCUUCGGAGAGUUUGAUCCUGGCUCAGGAUGAACGCUGGCGGCGUGCCUAAUACAUGCAAGUCGAGCGGACUGAUUAGAAGCUUGCUUCUAUGACGUUAGCGGCGGACGGGUGAGUAACACGUGGGCAACCUGCCUGUAAGACUGGGAUAACUUCGGGAAACCGAAGCUAAUACCGGAUAGGAUCUUCUCCUUCAUGGGAGAUGAUUGAAAGAUGGUUUCGGCUAUCACUUACAGAUGGGCCCGCGGUGCAUUAGCUAGUUGGUGAGGUAACGGCUCACCAAGGCAACGAU